UCGGAGGUGGUGUAAUUGGUAACACGCCGGGUUCUGGUCCCGUCAUUGGGGGUUCGAGUCCUCCCCUCCGAGCUA
rnacentral:tRNA from 1 species